UUUAUGGAGAGUUUGAUCCUGGCUCAGGACGAACGCUGGCGGCGUGCUUAACACAUGCAAGUCGAACGGAAAUAAAGGAGCUUGCUCCUUUAAAUUAGUGGCGAACGGGUGAGUAACACGUGGGCAACCUGCCCCUGACUCUGGGAUAACUACUCGAAAGAGUAGCUAAUACCGGAUAUGAAACCUGAAGACAUCUUCGGGUUUGGAAAGUUUUUCGGUCAGGGAUGGGCCCGCGGCCUAUCAGCUAGUUGGUGAGGUACCGGCUCACCAAGGCGACGACGGGUAGCCGGCCUGAGAGGGCGACCGGCCACACUGGGACUGAGACACGGCCCAGACUCCUACGGGAGGCAGCAGUGGGGAAUAUUGCGCAAUGGGCGAAAGCCUGACGCAGCAACGCCG
rnacentral:rRNA from 1 species